AGUGAACGCUGGCGGUAUGCCUAACACAUGCAAGUCGAACGGCCGCACAGUAAGAGCUUGCUCUUACGGGUGGCGAGUGGCGGGCGGGUGAGGAAUACAUCGGAAUCUACUUUUUCGUGGGGGAUAACGUAGGGAAACUUACGCUAAUACCGCAUACGACCUACGGGUGAAAUCAAGGGAUCUUCAGACCUUUCGCGAUUGAAAGAGCCGAUGUCGCAUUAGCUAGUUGGCGGGGUAAAGGCCCACCAAGGCAACGAUCCGUAGCUGGCCUGAGAGGAUGAUCGGCCACACUGGAACUGAGACACGGUCCAGACUCCUACGGGAGGCAGCAGUGGGGAAUAUUGCACAAUGGGCGCAAGCCUGACCCAGCCAUGCCGCGUGGGUGAAGAAGGCCUUCGGGUCGUAAAGCCCUGUUGUUGGGAAAGAAAAGCUGUAGGUUAAAGCGCCGCUGUUCUGACGGUACCUAAAGAAUAAGCAACGGCUAACUUCGUG
rnacentral:rRNA from 1 species